rnacentral:rRNA from 1 species
UACGAAGGGUGCAAGCGUUAAUCGGAAUUACUGGGCGUAAAGGGCUCGUAGGCGGCCAACUAAGUCGGAUGUGAAAUCCCCAGGCUUAACCUGGGAACUGCAUCCGAUACUGGAUGGCUUGAAUCCGGGAGAGGGAUGCAGAAUUCCAGGUGUAGCGGUGAAAUGCGUAGAUAUCUGGAGGAAUACCGGUGGCGAAGGCGGCAUCCUGGACCGGCAUUGACGCUGAUGAGCGAAAGCUAGGGGAGCAAACGGG